GGGGGAUUAGCUCAGUUGGCUAGAGCGUUUGCAUGGCAUGCAAGAGGUCAUCGGUUCGAGCCCGAUAUUCUCCA
rnacentral:tRNA from 1 species